GAUGAACGCUAGCGGGAGGCUUAACACAUGCAAGUCGAGGGGCAGCACGAUCCCGAGUAAUCGGGAUUGGUGGCGACCGGCGCACGGGUGAGUAACACGUAUGCAACCUACCCUGUACAGGGGGAUAACCCGGAGAAAUUCGGACUAAUAUCCCAUAAUGAUAUUUGAGGGCAUCCUUGGAUAUUUAAAGCUCAGGCGGUACGGGAUGGGCAUGCGGAACAUUAGCUAGUUGGGAGGGUAACGGCCUACCAAGGCAACGAUGUUUAGGGGACCUGAGAGGGUGAUCCCCCACACUGGUACUGAGACACGGACCAGACUCCUACGGGAGGCAGCAGUGAGGAAUAUUGGUCAAUGGGCGCAAGCCUGAACCAGCCAUCCCGCGUGCAGGAAGACGGCCCUAUGGGUUGUAAACUGCUUUUCCAGGGGAGAAUUUUUCUGUCGUGACAGGAAUUGACGGUACCCUGGGAAUAAGCAUCGGCUAACUCCGUG
rnacentral:rRNA from 1 species